rnacentral:rRNA from 2 species
AAAACAACUUUUAACAACGGAUCUCUAGGCUCUCGCAUCGAUGAAGAACGUAGCAAAUUGCGAUAACUAUUGUGAAUUGCAUUUCGUGAAUCAUCAAGUUUUUGAACGCAUCUUGCACUCUGUGGUAUUCCGCAGAGUACACUUGUUUCAG